ACUCCUACGGGAGGCAGCAGUGGGGAAUAUUGCACAAUGGGCGCAAGCCUGAUGCAGCCAUGCCGCGUGUAUGAAGAAGGCCUUCGGGUUGUAAAGUACUUUCAGCAGUGAGGAAGGUAGUGUAGUUAAUAGCUGCAUUAUUUGACGUUAGCUGCAGAAGAAGCACCGGCUAACUCCGUGCCAGCAGCCGCGGUAAUACGGAGGGGGUUAGCGUUGUUCGGAAUUACUGGGCGUAAAGCGCGCGUAGGCGGAUUAGUCAGUUAGAGGUGAAAUCCCAGGGCUCAACCCUGGAACUGCCUUUAAUACUGCUAGUCUUGAGUUCGAGAGAGGUGAGUGGAAUUCCGAGUGUAGAGGUGAAAUUCGUAGAUAUUCGGAGGAACACCAGUGGCGAAGGCGGCUCACUGGCUCGAUACUGACGCUGAGGUGCGAAAGUGUGGGGAGCAAACAGGAUUAGAUACCCUGAUAGGCUCUGCU
rnacentral:rRNA from 1 species